rnacentral:lncRNA from 14 species
AGAGCACCCGCAUAGCUGCAUGAACCCUCCUGGGAAGUGGAUUCACCUGGACUGGGUCCGAUAGAGAGGCCAGGCCAGGACAGAGUGGUUUUCUCCCCACAAAGUGGCUCCCACUCAUGUUACUUCAGUGAAGAGGCUGAUGUUUGGCAGCUUUUGAUUUCUUCAAGGACUCAGUGCAUCUGCUUGAGAAAAGAUUAACAAAACAAACCCUGCUCUCAAGAAACUCAGACCCAUCUGGCCAGUCAGAUGCAUGACUGAUCAACACAGAAACCAGGCUGGAUUUAAUUCAAGACUA